rnacentral:lncRNA from 1 species
AAUGAAAGGUUGUAAGAAGCCCCAAUGGAGAUGCCCAAAAUCCUGUUAAGAAAAUUGCUAGUUUUAGGUCCUUGAGGUCUUCUCUUGGAGAUGCUAACUUGAGUUUCUUUGGGCGCCUCUCAACGAGUUUAGCCUUUUUUAGGGUUUUCUGCACUCCGAUGCCUAUGAGAAAAGUGGCAAAAGUCUUUAAAUCUUAAGGUUGCAACUCUUGUGAUAGUCCCCAGAAUGGAAAAUUUCGAAGAAUUCAUGUAUGAAUCUACGGCUUCAAUGCCUGUGACAGAGCACACCGCGUCGAUUGGGAUUUGUGGUCAAGACGAUAAUGCGCUUUUCGUCCCCUUUCAAGGUUUCCUUGCUCAACCACGGGAGAGUAGAAAUCUCAAUGUAUAUCGUUUUCGCCUGAAGAUUACUAAAUGGGUAAUUUGAGGAUAAUGUCAAGGCAUAUGUUCAUGUCAUGCCCAAUAGCUCAUCACGAGCAAGGCUGGAAAACAAAUGUAGUUAGCCGAUAAACAGAUAAGCAAAGCUUAACGCUUAUACAAUCGGUCUUGCUAAAUGCAUCCCUAGCUAGAGCAUAGUGGGGAAGCCCUAAAAGUGUAGGUUUCACACAGAGGAACGAGUUCUCAACUCGACUAAAAGAAAAGGCUAAAGAAAAGAGUUGUCCGAGAAAGCCAAUGAAGAAUGAAGUUGGCAGAUAGGACGACGUCGAGCUUUACACACCCCCUGUUCGUGGGACAAUAGGGACAGAGCGAGAGAAUUCUCCAUAUUUAGAUCCAUAUUUAAGGAACGAUUGAACUCAUUAUGUCAUGCUCUCCCGGCGCACAUAAGCUGAGUUAAAAUUCUCAGGUUCUGCUCCCUGGGAGGGACCGGCCCUACCUAUAUAAUAAAGCCUGUUUUCAGAUAGAUUGAAUUUACCUUCUAAUCCAGAAUCAUCAAGUGAGUAAACUACCCUUGGAAAUGCUUCGGUAGUCGGAGGUUUCGAUAUGACCAUUUUUCCACGCUUAAGGCCGGUUUCGAACCUUCACAUAUUACGUUGUACCUCAGGGACGGGGACUGUAAGAAGGGUUUUAAAUGACUUAUUUCGAUCACUGGGGGCUUCCUUAUCUCAUAGGACUUCGAUCGCUUUCAUUGGGCCUUGCAAGGGGGAGAAGGAGAGUCUGAGUAGUGAAGAAGAAUAGAACACUUUUAUUGGUUGUUGACCAACAGAAAGCAUGGGAAUCUUUGGGCUCCGAAGAGCAUGAUUUUCGAUCUCGGACUCUACCAAUCGAUAGGUACACUGUUACACCAACCCAAUCUCAAUGAAGAAAAGAAAGCUACUGAUAAGUGUAUAUUUUCCAUAUAUUUUGCUAUUAAUUUCUCUAUCUUUUUCUUGUUUUGGUCUUAAAUAUUUUA